rnacentral:rRNA from 1 species
AUUGAACGCUGGCGGCAGGCCUAACACAUGCAAGUCGAACGAGUGGCGGACGGGUGAGUAAUGUCUGGGAAACUGCCCGAUGGAGGGGGAUAACUACUGGAAACGGUAGCUAAUACCGCAUACCAUCGGAUGUGCCCAGAUGGGAUUAGCUAGUAGUUGGGGUAACGGCUCACCUAGGCGACCAUCCCUAGCUGGUCUGAGAGGAUGACCAGCCACACGGGAACGGAGACACGGUCCGGACUCCUACGGGAGGCAGCAGUGGGGAAUAUUGCACAAUGGGCGCAAGCCUGAUGCAGCCAUGCCGCGUGUAUGAAGAAGGCCUUCGGGUUGUAAAGUACUUUCAGCGAGGAGGCGGGACACGAAGAAGAAGCACCGGCUAACUCCGUGCCAGCAGCCGCGGUAAUAG